rnacentral:lncRNA from 1 species
UUAUUUUCAUUAUUUAAUUGUUCUUGAUUUUAAUGUGUUUUUGUGUAUUGACGAAUGCAUGAAUCGAUAACAAAUGACUAGGGAUUAUUGACCGUAAGUCUACCGAUACGAUCCUGGAAAAUUAUUCAACUUUGUAAUUAACUAGGAAUAGGUAAUUAUAAGUUGUGACUUUUAAAUUAACGCACUUAGAACGCCUAAUUUAACUCAGAAAUGACCUAAGGAAUUAGAG